rnacentral:lncRNA from 1 species
AAGUUUAAUGGUUUAGUUCUCAUAUUUAAGCCUAAUACUAAUUUUGAGUUAAUCUUUGUGGAAGGUCUGAGGAAGGAUCGAUCAAGGCUAAGAUUUUUCCUUAUGCAGAUAGCCAGUUUUUCUAGUACCAUUUGUUGAAAAGAUUAUUUUUUUUCUUCCAUCAGAUUAGCUUGGUAUCUUCUCAAAAAUAAAUUGAUCAAAUAAUUGGUAUUAAUUUCUGGACUAUGAUGACCUAUUUCCUAUAUGCCUAUUCUUAUGCCAAUUUUAAACUGUCAUGAUUUGUAGUUUUAUAUAUACUAAGUCUUCAAAACAGGUAAUAUAACUUCUUCAACUUUGUCCUCUUUCAAAAGUGUUUUGGCUAUUCUGGGUCCUUUACAUUUUAAUAUAAAUUUCAAAUCAUGUCAGUUUUUUCAAAGAAUCUUGUCUGGGUUUUGACUGGAAUUUAUGGAUCAAUUUGGGGAUACUGAAUCUUCAAACCAUAAACCUAUUUCAUCAUUUAUUUAGUUCUUCUUUAUUUUAACUUUGCAAAUUUUUUAUAGUUUUAAGUGUUUAGGUCUUAAACACCUUUUGUUAAAUUAAUUGCUGAGUAUUUUUUAUGCUAUUUUAAAUGGAGGCUUGAAAAUUUUUAUCGUCAGUUGUUUGAUGCUAGCUUAUAAAAAUUCCAGUUUUUAUUUUGACCUUGUAUCCUGUAAUUUUUCUAAAUUCAUUUAUUAGAUUUAUUUAUUUAAUUGAAGUAUAAUUGUGUUAGUUUCAGGUAUACAGCAAAGUGAUUCAGUUUUACAGAUAUAUUUAGUUUUACAGAUAUAUUCAGUAUUACAUAUAAAUAUAUAUGUGUAUUUUUUCAGAUUCUUUUCCAUUAUAAAAUUUGAUAGCUAUUUUAUGGCUCCCUUAGGGUUUUCUACCUAUACAUCAUAUCAGCUGCAAGAAAGGAUACUUUACUUCUAUCUUUCCCAUUUGCAUGCCUUUUAUUUCUUUGCUUGUCUUAUUGCACUGGCUAGGAUAUUCAGUAAAUAUCAAAUAAAAUACAUCUUUGCCCUAUUUCUGGUCUCUUUGUUAUUAGCUGUAGGUUUUUUUUACAGCAGCCCUUAAUCAAGUUGAUAAAUUUUACUUUGUUCCCUCUUUGCUCAGAAUUUUUAUCAUGAAAUGGUUUUGUCAAAUAUUUUUCUCCAUCUAUUGCAAUGACCAUAUGGUUUUUUCUCCUAUAUGCUUUUAAUAUGUAAACUUAUUGAUUUUCAAGCAUAUGUAAAUAAUUUGACCUAAAAAUAGAACAGAGAAAGGCUAGAACAUAAUAAUGUCAUUAAAAAUGGAAAUUAAAAACAUGUGUCCUAAUAUUAUUUAUUUAAUGUAUCAUUUUAAUCAGCAGAAAAAUAUCAAAUGCAAAUUAUCUGAUUCAGUACAGGUUGGAAUGGGACCUACUUAGAGGGGAGAAAGUAAUGUUUUCCUUUCCUUUCUAAUUUAAAAUUUUUUGUAGAUUGAAAGUGCUCAUUUCUCGUUGUUUUGACAGUGCAUUAACAAGUUGACAACUCCAUUUUACAUUUCAUUUUUUGAAAAAUUUAAAGUCAUUUGCCUAAAAUCCCAUUUUUUCCCACAGAAAAAGAGCUUGUCUUCAGGUAACUUGUUUGUAUAUGAUUUUAUAGGAAAAUUUACCCCCAGCUAAAAGUUUUAGUAGUGAUUCAGCUUCCUUUAUAGUAAAAACAAAAAUAUUUCUGUUAUUAAAUUUAACUGUAGCAUUGUGCUACUUACUGCCUGAUGCUUUUUGAUUCCAUGAAAGUUUAAUUUCAUUCUAGAGAGAAAACAGUUGGGUGAUUAGGGGCAGGAAUAAGUACCAAUUCCCACAAAAACUGAACAUAAAACGAAACAAUUCAUCAUACAAAAAAUAGCCUCCAUAAAAAUACAGUUUCCUGAAAGGUGAUUAUAAAAGUAUGCAUUUAGCCAAUCAUUUUAAAUACUGUAAUUAUACAGGCUGCUCAUCAAAAGACUUUUAAGACUCAUUAAAAUCAUAAAACAAUUCUAAUUAAAUCCAUAUUUAAAUUAAGUUUCUAUAACGAACCUACAUGGUACUUUAAAUCAAACAAAAAAAGUUGUAUAAAAGAUCCAAUUAAUUGUAAGUUUCUCUAAGAAUUAAAGCCUAAUUACUCUAUGAUUAAGUUUCCCCAAAAUGUAAUCAUCAAUGGCUCUAUUCAGAAGAUUUAGCCUUCUGUACCCCAGAUGCCAGCAGAGUGCCUCCGCCUGUCUUUGACACCAGCAAAUCUAUUCAUCUGAAAUCAGCAUGACUGUGGAAACUUUACCUCCACCCCCACUGGGGAUCCAAGUAGUGAGACCAAACAAAGCAGCAUAUUUUAUACAGAUAAAGGUCUCCCUAUCUGCUGAGGUCCCUAUCUGAAUAAAUAAUUUCUGUUCAUCAGCAAAUUUAAAAAAAAAAAAAAUCCAUCUUCAGAGCAGGUUUUGAAGACAGUGGUCAUUUCAAAGACUCCCAAGUCGAUGGGAAAAGACACACAAGAAAAGAAUAAGAUUUGCAGCUUACAGAGAAAGAGAACUAGGCCUUCUAAGCAGACAGCACUAAAGCAUUUCCUUCUAACUCCAUGCAACUCUUCUUUCUUCCUUAGCUACUUGAAAUGUUUUUCAUUUUUAUUAGCCCAACUUCCCACGGGAAAGAAAAUAAAAAAGCUCUGUGACAUCGCAGCCUCUUGUGUGUUCUCUGAAACUAAUUAAUCCUAUGAAGUUAUUAGGGCAGCAUCAUUUUUUCUAUGACAUCACACAAGGUGAAGGUCACUUCUGUAAUAUUCUUGGCUUCAGUCAUGUGGUGCAUACCCCACAAAAUAUAAUUUAUUGUAAUUUCCCCAGUGCCCUGAUAGCCAAGUGAUUAGUUAUUAUGAUACAUAAAAAGUUCAGACAUAAAACACAUGAUUUAUAGCCUCUCUUUCUAAUAAUCUGAUUUUCUUUUAUGCUAAAAAGAAAUUUACUAUUUAUGGUUUAUACAUUGUUAUUUUGAGGAAAUGACUAAAGUAUCUUCAUAUGGAUACCUGCUGAUUGCACAGUAUCUGGAAGCAGAAACAUCCAAAUGACUGGGAUAUAAAGGCAGUUUUUUAUUCAGUUGACAAGAACUUUUUCUGAACUAUCCCUGCCUGUGCUGGUGGCAGAAUGUUUGUCUGGUGACCAGUUAAGUUAGGCUGGAGCUACCUGCCCUGCACUGCACAGACAUCAGUGCAAGAAACGGUGGUUCUGGGCAGAAGGAACAUAGUUCAGGAUUCAGCUACAAGAUUUCCUUCCCUUUGAGUGCACUGUCUCUGACUUGAAAAUCCCCCAGCUCUUUGCCAUAAAAACCUCUUUGUAGAUUUUUAAAUUGUGAAACUUGCUUUCCUGCAUGUCUGCUUUUAGAGCAGGAACCUUUUAGAACUAUGACCUUUAAAUCCUUUCUAUCUUCUCCUCUAGUCACAUUAAUAUGUCAACUUCAUUUUCAUUGUGCUGAAAUUUGGUUUUAAUUCUAGGAAAACUCGCCCCACACCAGUUGCUUUGAGAAGUUCAUCUGAAGGAUGAAAGCAGCACACACAGUCACUGCAGAAGAGUAGGUCAAAGAAGAAAUGUGGGCAGGCUUUCGUAGGUGAGAGAAUCUAGCUCCUGACUGUGAAGAGGUAAGGACAUGAAAGAAGCUGUAUCUACCACAAUGGCAUGCCAUGUUUGGGGAGAGGAGCUGGCUUUCUUUGCCUGUAUUAGGUGUAAAAUGGAACAAUACCUGUGAUGCUUAGUGACUAGAAUGCUGCAUUGGUAAGCCAUAGAGCUACUAAUUCUGUUAAUUAUUAAGUACCUACUAAACACUUUACAUGUUUUGACUCUUUGAAUCCUCAGAAUUAUGAAGUAGUUAGUAUUAUAUCCACAAUUUAUAGCUGAAGAAACUGCGGUCCAGAGACCUUAAGUAUUUUGUCCAAAGUCACACAGCUACUAAAUGGAAAAGUUGGGAUUUAAACCCAGGCAGUCUGGCACUAGUAAAUUCUUAAACAUUAUGCAUACUGCUCUUUCAGUUCUUUGUAUUCUGUACUUAUUUAAUAACAAAUACUUAAUGAUGCACUUCAAAUAUGCCAGGCACUCAACUAAGAGCUUGAAAUGUAUUGACUCUACUUGGUUCUCACAACAGCCCUUUGAAAUAUGUACUAUUAUUACUGUCUCAUUUUCCAGACUAGAAAACCAAGGCACAGAGAGACU